GAUGAACGCUGGCGGCGUGCCUAAUACAUGCCAGUCGAGCGAACAGACGAGGAGCUUGCUCCUCUGACGUUAGCGGCGGACGGGUGAGUAACACGUGGAUAACCUACCUAUAAGACUGGGAUAACUUCGGGAAACCGGAGCUAAUACCGGAUAAUAUAUUGAACCGCAUGGUUCAAUAGUGAAAGACGGUUUUGCUGUCACUUAUAGAUGGAUCCGCGCCGCAUUAGCUAGUUGGUAAGGUAACGGCUUACCAAGGCAACGAUGGGUAGCCGACCUGAGAGGGGGAACGCCGCCCGAGGAAGUGAACAGCGGCACAGGGACCGAGGGGAGGCACAGAAUGGGAAGCUUGCGAACAGGGGGGAAGAUUGCGGGAGGAGCGCGCGGUGGAUGAAGAGAGGCUGCGUGCGGUAAAACGGUUUUUUGGGGGAAAAACAAUUUUGAAAGGAAAGAAGCGCAUGUGACGGUACCCUAAGAAGAAGCCCCGGCUAACUACGGG
rnacentral:rRNA from 1 species